rnacentral:rRNA from 1 species
GACGAACGCUGGCGGCGUGCCUAAUACAUGCAAGUCGAACGCAGUGGGGACGGGUGAGUAAAACGUGGGUAACCUCCCAUCAGAGGGGAUAACACUUGGAAACAGGUGCUAAACUGCUACUGAUGGAUGGACACGCGGUGCAUUAGCUAGUUGGUGAGGUAACGGCCCACCAAGGCCACGAUGCAUAGCGGGCCGGAGAGGGUGAGCGGCCACACUGGAACUGAGACACGGCCCAGACUCCGACGGGAGGAAGCAGUGGGGAAUCUUGGGCAAUGGACGAAAGCCUGACGGAGCAAGGCCGCGUGAGUGAAGAAGGUUUUCGGAUCGUAAAACUCUGUUGUUAGAGAGGCGGUAUCUAACCAGAAAGCCACGGCUAACUACGUGCCAGCAGCCGCGGUAAUUC